UGAGGAAUAUUGGUCAAUGGGCGAGAGCCUGAACCAGCCAAGUCGCGUGAAGGAUGAAGGAUCUAUGGUUCGUAAACUUCUUUUAUAGGGGAAUAAAGUGCAGGACGUGUCCUGUUUUGUAUGUACCCUAUGAAUAAGGAUCGGCUAACUCCGUGCCAGCAGCCGCGGUAAUACGGAGGAUCCGAGCGUUAUCCGGAUUUAUUGGGUUUAAAGGGUGCGUAGGUGGUUUUUUAAGUCAGCGGUGAAAGUUUGUGGCUCAACCAUAAAAUUGCCGUUGAAACUGGAAGACUUGAGUAUGUUUGAGGUAGGCGGAAUGCGUGGUGUAGCGGUGAAAUGCAUAGAUAUCACGCAGAACUCCAAUUGCGAAGGCAGCUUACUAAACCAUAACUGACACUGAAGCACGAAAGCGUGGGGAUCAAACA
rnacentral:rRNA from 1 species